rnacentral:rRNA from 1 species
UACGUAGGGGGCAAGCGUUAUCCGGAUUUACUGGGUGUAAAGGGAGCGUAGACGGCAGAGCAAGUCUGGAGUGAAAGCCCGCGGCCCAACUGCGGGACUGCUUUGGAAACUGCCCGGCUAGAGUGCUGGAGAGGUAAGCGGAAUUCCUAGUGUAGCGGUGAGAUGCGUAGAUAUUAGGAGGAACACCAGUGGCAAAGGCGGCUUACUGGACAGUAACUGACGUUGAGGCUCGAAAGCGUGGGGAGCAAACAGG